rnacentral:rRNA from 1 species
GACAGAAGGUACAAGUGUUAUUCGAAGUUAAUGGGCGUAAAGGGUACGUAGGUAGUCACUUAAUUUUACUGAAAAAGGCUAGGGCGGAUUCCUUAGCAAAACGGUUUAAGAAUGUGUGACUUGGGAAAAGAAGAGGUAAGGAGAACUUCCAGAGUAGAGGUCAAAUUCAAAGAUACUGGAAAGACUACCAGAAUAGCAAAGGCACCUUUCCAUUUUUUUCCGUCGCUGAGGUACGAAAGCAUGGGGAGCAAACAGG